GCUCAGUAACACGUGGAUAACCUGCCCUAGGGAAGGGGAUAACCCCGGGAAACUGGGGAUAAUACCCUAUAGAUUACAGAUGCUGGAAUGCCCUGUAAUCCAAAGUUCCGACGCCCUAGGAUGGAUCUGCGGCCGAUUAGGUUGUUGUUGGGGUAAUGGCCCAACAAGCCCGUAAUCGGUACGGGUUGUGGGAGCAAGAGCCCGGAGUUGGAUUCUGAGACACGAAUCCAGGCCCUACGGGGCGCAGCAGGCGCGAAAACUUUACAAUGCGGGCAACCGUGAUAAGGGAACCUCGAGUGCCUGUAAAUGCAGGCUGUUCAGGUGCCUAAAACACACCUGAAGAAAGGGCCGGGCAAGACCGGUGCCAGCCGCCGCGGUAAUACCGGCGGCUCGAGUGGUGGCCGCUUUUAUUGGGCUUAAAGCGUUCGUAGCUGGGUUGUUAAGUCUCUUGGGAAAUCUGGCGGCUUAACCGUCAGGCGUCUAAGGGAUACUGGCAAUCUUGGAACCGGGAGAGGUGAGGGGUACUUCGGGGGUAGGAGUGAAAUCCUGUAAUCCUCGAGGGACCACCUGUGGCGAAGGCGCCUCACCAGAACGGCUUCGACAGUGAGGGACGAAAGCUGGGGGAGCAAACCGGAUUAGAUACCCGGGUAGUCCCAGCCGUAAACUAUGCGCGUUAGGUGUAUCGGUGACCACGAGUUACCGAGGUGCCGAAGGGAAACCGUGAAACGUGCCGCCUGGGAAGUACGGUCGCAAGGCUGAAACUUAAAGGAAUUGGCGGGGGAGCACCACAACAGGUGGAGCCUGCGGUUUAAUUGGACUCAACGCCGGGAAGCUCACCGGAUAAGACAGCAGAAUGAUUGCCGGGCUGAAGACUCUGCAUGACUAGCUGAGAGGAGGUGCAUGGCCGUCGUCAGUUCGUACUGUGAAGCAUCCUGUUAAGUCAGGCAACGAGCGAGACCCA
rnacentral:rRNA from 1 species